UAGUUCACAUGGGGGAGAGGCGUUGUGCCGUGAGGGGUUCCUUUGUUUUUUUAAUCCCGGUUAGCUGGUCUCUUGCGCUAUAUGGAAGGGAGUUCCAGCCAAUCAUGGCUCUAUAACACUGUGCGUUUCAUUUGUUCUUGAUUUGGGGACUGUGAAAAGACCCCUGGUGGCAUAACUGGUGGGUUAAGUGUGUGCAUGUUGACUAUGCAAACAAUGAGGAAUUAAAAGAAAUGCAGUCAACCUUUCCUCAACUACCAGAAACAAAGGUAAACAAAUGAGUUUGCACAAGUGGUGUGAUCCACAAUCCCUUUUCCUCCAGACCCAGUCUGUCCCUAAUCAGCAAACAUAUGGUAGGCAGAAGAGAAACCCACAUUUAAAGAGAAGGCAUUUUGGAAGUCAAAUUGUUUAUUGAACAAAUCAUGUAAGAGUAGCAGGAACACCAGGCCAAAUCAAAAUCAUAACCGUACAACCUAAGUGUCAGCAAUAGUGGCCAAAUCAGAGGUACAUUUUUGUCGUAUGGUGAAGGAGUUCCUCAUUUCAAACAAGCGCAUUAGUUUGCAUAAUUCCUCACCUCAAUUACCUUUGCCCUUUUCUUCAAAUGGAGGCACAGUAACAGGAGAAAGACGAUUAAGGAGUUGGGCAAACCAAAUUAUGAUCUCCCUAUCUAGCUUGUUGAGGGGUCGGGCCGUCUGUGCAAGGCCGGCCGCUUCUGCAGAGGUAUGUUUGGCAGUUGCUUCAGCAGAGGCGCGGGGGCCGGCGGCCGCUACUGCAGAGGUAUGGCUGGCAGUUGCUUGAGCUGAGGCGCGGGGUUCGACGGCCGCUUCUGCAGAGGUAUGUUUGGCAGUUGCUUCAGCAGAGGCGCGGGGGCCAGCCGCUUCUGCAGAGGUAUGGCUGGCAGUUGCUUCAGCUGAGGCGCGGGGGCCUGUGGCCGCUUCUGCAGAGGUAUGGCUGGCAGUUGCUUCAGCUGAGGCGCGGGGGCCAGCCGCUUCUGCAGAGGUAUGGCUGGCAGUUGCUUCAGCUGAGGCGCGGGGGCCAGCCGCUUCUGCAGAGGCAUGGUUGGCAGUUGCGGCAUUUGGACCCUGCGUCACACUUGCCAGGCUAUUGUAGCCAGUAGCUUUAGCAUUUGGACCAGACACCACACUUGCUUGGGAUCCAGUUGGUUCAGGUCCAGUGCAGGCAGGAUGCCCAUAAGCGUCACCUAGGAAACAAAGAAAACAUUGUGGUAAAAUUCCAGCCUUAAGCCAUUGGAACUAGACUGUGAUUUAAAUUACUUUGAACCAAAACGCACCUUGAAGGGUAAAGCACGUUAUCCCUCCAAUUAGCAGGCAACAAAUCCAAGAAACACUAUAAAACAUUCAGACAGUUAAACAUAAAUAAACAGUAAACACUUUAAGACAAGGUAAACCAAUCAGAUGAAUACAUUGAAAAACUAACCUCAAAGAGAGUCCAAAAGUCACAGCCAUUUUAGUGAUCAAAACCACAACAGAAUUCAAGAACUAAUUCUCGACAGCCUGCCAGAAUAUCCCUGUUGCAAUGUCUAACAGCUGUUUUGGUUGCACCUCAUAAAGGAAUCCCAGACCCUUCUUACCUGAAUGGCUAAUUAUGUACAGGUGUCAACCAAUGAACUUAAUUUCAAUUGGUUGGCC
rnacentral:lncRNA from 1 species